rnacentral:rRNA from 1 species
UACGUAGGGGGCAAGCGUUGUCCGGAUUUACUGGGCGUAAAGAGCGUGUAGGCGGCCACGCAGGUCCGUUGUGAAAACUGGAGGCUCAACCUCCAGCUGUCGACGGAAACCGUAUGGCUAGAGUCCGGAAGAGGAGAGUGGAAUUCCUGGUGUAGCGGUGAAAUGCGCAGAUAUCAGGAAGAACACCAAUGGCGAAGGCAGCUCGCUGGGACGGUACUGACGCUGAGACGCGAAAGCGUGGGGAGCGAACAGG